rnacentral:lncRNA from 1 species
GUGGUUUUCACAUCAUGCAUCCCAACCCCACCCAUCUCCCCAUCCCACCCCAACCCUGGCAUCCCCUCUGCCCUUGCAACCUCCCUGCAAAACAAAAUUUAAAAGAAAAACCAAACCAACCAAACAAAACAGAACAAGAAAUAAGAAAGAACAAGAAGAAAAAGAAUCUUGUGGAAGCUGCAGUGUGGCCUGGGUUUCUGUAGACCAGGCUGGCCUUGAACUCACAGAGAUCUGCCUGCCUCUGCUUCCAGAGCAUAGUGCUGGGAUUAAAGGUGAGCACCACUACUGCCUAACCCAGGCGUUAUUUAAUAGGUCUGUCUUUGUGAUACUUUGUCUUUUCCCUUGAAGCUUUUAAUAUUUUUUUGUUCUCUGUGUUUAAUGUUUUGAUUAUUGUUUGCUGAGGAGGCUUUCUUUUUUUUUUUUUUUUUUUUUUUGGCCCAGUCUAUUUGGUGUUCUAUGUUUCUUGUACCUUUAUAAGCAUCUCCUUCUUUAGGUUAGGAAAAUUUUCUUCUAUGAUUUUGUUGAAAAUAUUUCCUGUGCCUUUGGCCUGGGUUUCUUCUCCUCACUCUAGUCCCAUUAUUCUUUUCAUAAUAUCCCAGAUUUACUGGAUGUUUUGUGCCAGAAUAUUUUUCUUUUAAGGUUUAACAUUUUCUUUGACUGAAGUAUCCAUUUCUUCUGUUGUGUCUUCAAUGCCUGAAAUUCUCUUCCAUCUCUUGUAUUCUUUUGAUGAAGUUUGUCUUUCAGGUUUCUUUUCCAGUUCCUAAAUUUUUCAUUUCCAGAUUUCCCUCCGUUUGGGUUUCCUUUAUUGGUUCUAUUUCCACUGUCAGGCCUUGAAUGCUUUAUUCAUUUCCUUCUACUGUUUGCAUUUUCAUGGAUUUCUUUAAGGGAUUUAUUCAUUUCCUCUUUAAGGACCUCUACCAUGCUAGGGUUGCUGGGCUUUAGUGGAGACAUAUCUUCCUGGCUGUUACUGUGUUUUUAUGCUGGCCUUUAGGCAUUUGGGUUUGGGUUGAUUAUAAUUCUAGUUGCUGAUAUUUGGUUUUGUCUUUGUUGUGUGAGUGUUUUGUUCCUUGGUUUCUUUUGCCCUCUCUGGUUCUUAGGAGGGUGUGAUGUCUGUGUUGCUUGGUAGGGAAUCCUUCUAGGUGUGACCUUCUAGGUGUGACCAAUAGGGGCUCUGGGUAAAAUGUGUUUCUAGGUUGUGGGAGCUGACUCUUAGGAAUGGGGAUGGACUAGGAGGGGGCUCUGAGGGGAUCCGUAGAAGGGAGGAAAGCAGGGUGUUCCACCAGGAUCUGCUUAGUCCUCUGGGAAUGGGGGCAGAAAGUGAGGAGAGGCCAUGGCAGGCAGUCUGCUAUAGAGCUGGGGACGAGAUGGGGAGAUUAGAUUUGGAGGAGAGGAGACAAAGUGGAGAUCUCAAGCUUGACUACCUGUUUACUGGCUGGCCGACUGACUUGCUUCUCUGGCAGGCUUUGCUGGUGGGUUCUCAGAAAACGCCUGCUGGGGUUCAGGGCUGGGACAACAGGAUGAGAGAAAAGUUGAGGAAACAUCUGCAUGAUCCACUGGAGAUGGGGUCAGAGAAGAGGGAGAGGCCACAGCGGGUGUUGUUCAACAGAGCUGGAAAUGAGACAGCGGGGGUGGAUUCAGAAAAGAGGAGGGAAAGGUGAAGAUCUGCAGUUAGCCUACUUGUUUUCCUGGUCAGAGAGGCCUGUGGGUUCCCAGAGGAUGCUGGCUGGAGGUGGAGGCUGGAAGAAAGCAAGUUGGGG